rnacentral:rRNA from 1 species
GGUGGGGAGCAAACAGGAUUAGAUACCUGGUAGUCACGCUGUAAACGAUGUCGAUUUGGAGUUUGUUGCCUAGAGUGAUGGGCUCGAAGCUAACGCGAUAAAUCGACCGCUGGGGAGUACGGCCGCAAGGUUAAAACUCAAAUGAAUUGACGGGGGCCCGCACAAGCGGUGGAGCAUGUGGUUUAAUUCGAUGCAACGCGAAGAACCUUACCUGGUCUUGACAUCCAUAGAAUUCUGCAGAGAUGUGGGAGUGCCUUCGGGAACUAUGAGACAGGUGCUGCAUGGCUGUCGUCAGCUCGUGUUGUGAAAUGUUGGGUUAAGUCCCGCAACGAGCGCAACCCUUAUUCUUUGUUGCCAGCGAUUUGGUCGGGAACUCAAAGGAGACUGCCGUUGAUAAAGCGGAGGAAGGUGGGGACGACGUCAAGUCAUCAUGGCCCUUACGACCAGGGCUACACACGUGCUACAAUGGCGUAUACAAAGGGAAGCGAAGGUGCGAGCUGGAGCGGAUCUCAUAAAGUACGUCUAAGUUCGGAUUGGAGUCUGCAACUCGACUCCAUGAAGUCGGAAUCGCUAGUAAUCGUAGAUCAGAAUGCUACGGUGAAUACGUUCCCGGGCCUUGUACACACCGCCCGUCACACCAUGGGAGUGGGUUGCACCAGAAGUAGAUAGCUUAACCGCGAGGGGGGCGUUUACCACGGUGUGAUUCAUGACUGGGGUGAAGUCGUAACAAGGUAACCA